rnacentral:rRNA from 1 species
CCCUUAGAUGUUCUGGGCUGCACGCGUGCUACAAUGGCGUUUCCAGCAAGUCUGCGAACCCGAGAGGGCCAGCGGAUCUUCGAAUUGGCGUCGUGAUCGGGACAGUCGAUUGCAAUUAUUUGACUCAAACGAGGAAUUCCUUGUAAUCGCGAUUCAUCAUAUCGCGCUGAAUACGUCCCUGCCCUUUGUACUCACCGCCCGUCGCUCCUACCGAUUGAGCGAUCCGGUAAAUGUUUUGGAUUGGUGCCGGGGCGGCUAGCUGCCGGUCGCUACGAAAUUUUGUGAACCUCAUCGCUUAGAGGAAGGAAAAGUCGUAACA